UCUCGGUAGCGGAAAAGUUAACUUAAAUUUGUAUGGAGUUGGAACGUUUGCCUACGUUUGCCGUUAGGGGCGCUGUUCCAACUCCAUACUUUGAGUUAACUUUUACGUUAUCGA
rnacentral:pre_miRNA from 9 species